AUUCACAAUGUAUUCAGUUAGUAAACCUCUUCUAUUAAAAAGGCUAUACUUACUAAAUAGAAGUUCUCGGUGGAAAAUACUGGUUAUACUUGGAGGUGGAGACGGGGUGAAGUAAUGAAAAUAUGUGGCUGAAGAGACUUCCUGGGAUAUCUCCCCUAAACUGCAUUGGGUAGAAAUCCCGCAGGAGCAAGCCGGAAGUGGCUGGGCCUGGGCGCGCACUCUUCCGGUCGCAGCCAGCAAAGGCUUUUACGGAGCGCUGUUGGCGGGAAAUCUCUGGCAGCUUCCCAGGUGAAAUCUAAAGCGGACCGCAGCACAAGGAGGGCAAGGAGAGAGAGAGGCAGCCACUCCAGACUGGUACAGUUAAUCUUCAGGUCCCUGGCAUGCUGCCGUCCAUGAGGUCCCAAAGAGUCAGAAAUGACUGAGCAACUGAUCAGUGACAACGAUCGUCAAUUCCAGAAAGGAGGAAAUGUUCUACAUUCAACAGUGGGGUCUAGAGUAGCCAGCUACCAUCACCCGCCAAACCUAAGUCACAGACAUUCAUGGCUACAUUCAAGGAGCAUGGACAGAAGUGAGAGCAUCCCUAGAGAAGAAGGAAUCAGCCCAUGCCUUGGUAUGUUUUUUACCAGGAGUCCAGGAAAAGUCUCUUACAGCAUCUAUUUCUCAUAUAUGGCCCUUAACCAUUUGAAAGCAAGGACUUGAGCCUAGAAGCAGGGAUGAUGAGGGGUCAGCCAUGAAUUUAUGGGUUCAUUCUUUGACCACCCAUGACUCUGUUCACCACAAAUGUAUGACUCUGAUGCAAAUGCUUUAUGGGGACCAGCUGUAUUUGGAGAGUAUAUGCAUUCAUUUAUUCAAUCAACAAGUUUCAUUGAGCACCUACUCAACUUUAUCUAGGAUGAAACACGAUACGAGAGGUCCCUGAUCUCACUGGGUGUAUACUCCAUGAGAAUUUUUUAAUAGAUAUCUUAAGUCACUUUACUUAUAAAAACAGAGGGGAUUCUAGUCUGCAGAUAUAAACCACUGAGAAUAAUUUGCCUUGUCAGUCAGCAUAUU